UACGUAUGGUGCAAGCGUUAUCCGGAUUUACUGGGUGUAAAGGGAGCGUAGACGGAGUGGCAAGUCUGAUGUGAAAACCCGGGGCUCAACCUCGGGACUGCAUUGGAAACUGUCAAUCUAGAGUACCGGAGAGGUAAGCGGAAUUCCUAGUGUAGCGGUGAAAUGCGUAGAUAUUAGGAGGAACACCAGUGGCGAAGGCGGCUUACUGGACGGUAACUGACGUUGAGGCUCGAAAGUGUGGGGAGCAAACAGG
rnacentral:rRNA from 1 species